rnacentral:SRP_RNA from 1 species
GCCUGGACGACCGUGUGCGCCGCCAUAAUUACCGCUGAGCUCACCACUGGACUCUACAGAAGUCUUUCGUGCGAUGCCCUUAGCCGUUACAAGCGAGAGAUCGUCGCGAUUUCAGACCCAGUCCACCUGGGUCUGAAAUCACGACGAUCUCUCGGUUGUAACGGCUAAGGGCAUAACACGAAAUUCUUUUGUAGAGUCCAGUGGUGAG